rnacentral:tRNA from 1 species
UGGGAAUUAGCUCAAGUGGUAGAGCGCUCACUUAGCAUGUGAGACGUACAGGGAUCGAUACCCUGAUUCUCCA